AUACCAUACUAUUGCCUUCCAGUCUAAAUUCAUUUUUUUUAAACAGAUAUGUUUCCCUUCUACUAAUAUUAAAAUCCCCGCAAAGCUAAAGCAUAUGCAAAGUAAGGCAAUGAGAUUAGGGGGAGUGUUCUUCGCAAAAGGAGAAAAACAGAAGAAAAGAAUAAUAUGAGUAACUCCCCGCCUUGCUUUCCAUUAUUACAUAUUGUAUAACCAUAAUACCGUCUCUCUUUUGGCUAUAUAAAGCCCUUUCCUCCGUCCCGGAACAUAUAAGCUACCACAUGGCUUGAUACGUGGGGAGUUCAUAUUUGAACCUACCGCUGAGAUCAUUCUCUCCUUUUCACUCUCUCUGUCUAUACGUGUGUGUUUAUGUGCGUGCUUUGGGCUAAUUAGGGCAUCUCCAGUCCUACAUAUAAUUUUGAUGCGGUUGGAUUGAGGUUUGGAUAUACCUUAAAAAAGAGAGCUUUCUUCAGUCCACUCAUGGGUGGCAGUAGGAUUCAAUUAGCUGCCGACUCAUUCAUCCAAAUGCUGAGUAAGAUUGGUACUCAGUAACUGAGUGAAUGAUGCGGGAGAAAAAUUGAUUCUUAAGCUUCCUGUACUUGGACUGAAGGGAGCUCCCUUUACUUUUAUCAUCUAUAUUAGCCUGAGAUUCGGCCUUUUCAGUCUUCAUCAGCUCUAGUCUUGCAGGUAGAUAUGUUUUGCUUAUUCUGCACCUCAACAUACAGCAGGCAAAAGUAGAAGAUAAGUGUAGAUUACUAAUAGAGUACUAUAUUCUGCAUAUGAUGAUGUUUGACUCAUCAUGAGCUUGAGGGCUUGGUUUGUUUAAAGAAACCGAUUAUACAUCUUGACUAGAUUCUGUGACCAUGAUGUUUGUCUUUCUAACAUUAUUAUAUGGAGAAUUUAGUUGUUUAGGGAAGAGCUUCACCACUAAUCAACUAACCCAUUUUCGCAUGUCGAUUGUCUUUUUCUUUCAUUUGUAUGCUAGGCAUAUGUUGAAUGUUAAUUCAACUAUAACCCCAGUGGAUGGGAAACAAUGGAUUUAGGGUUUCGUCAAAGUGACUUUCUUGUCAUGCUGUAAACGCUCUACGACAAUGCGUUUCUUGGUUAUUGCCCACUUAUUGCAUCAAGUUCCCAGAUAUGUCUCUCAGAAGCUGAUGCAAUUACCAAAAUAUCCUCGUCAUCCAUCCAAAGUUCCAACUGUGGGUAUACCUUGAAAAUAUGCUAGUGCUAAAUUUAUACCAGCUAGUAUACUUCUCUUCGAUUUAUCCUUUUCGGUUUCUUUGGUAAGCAUGUCAAGAUUUAUUCGUGUCUUCUGAUUUUUUUUUUCCUUUUCCUUUUUAUGAUCCACAAUCUUGUUUUAGCUGCAAGUUCUCAAGAAGAUCGACCAAUGAGCCAAGGGAUUCAUUACAUCCAAAAAUUGGCAGAAUGUUUCAAAGGACGUACUUUCUUGGACCCAUGAAGAGAAAUCAUCCAGAGCUCCUGAACAGGAGGAUGCUCCCAGCCUCAAGGCUAUAAACAUAGUGAUAUUGUAGAAGGUGCAGUCAGUUAAUUUACCACUAAUCUGUGUCUUGACUAGGGGUUAACUGGUCUAAAUUUGCAUAGCUUUCCAGUAGAUCUUGAUCCUUUAUAACAUUAGACCAGCUCUCGUGUACUUGACUUUGUGUAUUAAUUUAAUAUCCAUUGUAUAACUAGGGCCAAUUCCUGAAGUUUGUACUUUUUUAGAUGGUUUGUAUGGAUGGUGACAUUAUAAUUAGGGCCAAUUCCUCGUU